rnacentral:rRNA from 1 species
UACGUAGGGUGCGAGCGUUGUCCGGAAUUACUGGGCGUAAAGAGCUCGUAGGUGGUUUGUCGCGUUGUCCGUGAAAACUCACAACUCAAUUGUGGGCGUGCGGGCGAUACGGGCAGACUGGAGUACUGCAGGGGAGACUGGAAUUCCUGGUGUAGCGGUGGAAUGCGCAGAUAUCAGGAGGAACACCGGUGGCGAAGGCGGGUCUCUGGACCGAGACUGACGCUGAGGCGCGAAAGCGUGGGGAGCAAACAGG